AUAGGUUGUUUCAAUUAUUGCUGACCUGUGGCGUUCUCCCCACGACCGCUUAUCUUCCUGUUCCUGGCAAGCGAUAGUACUUGGGAAAUCCAGCGUGGCUCCUUCCGCUUGCUCCGCCUGAGGCGCCCUGCAGAGCAUGCCAGAAGCCUCGUGAGUGAAACUGCACAGCUCAGUUUCCACCCCAUUUCCAGACUGAGGUUUAAAAUAUUUUUCUCUAAGCUCUGGUAUUACAAGGUGACUUUAAAGGUGCCAGGCGAGGCUAAAGAUUUCACUACACAGUGUGGAUUUUAGCUAAUGGCGUGCCUUGCUACACUCUAAAAAUGUUCAGGGACGGUCCAUCCAGAGGUCUGCUAUGACGCGGUACGGUUUUUGAAGUUCCAUCACCAACCCAUAAAAAGAUGGAAAGCCGGGCUCCUCUCCGCGCGUGGUAUCGGCUCCAGCCCCUAACUUAUCCCAGCUGGAAACUACAAGUGCAGUCUACGUCAGAGCUCAAUGAAUAUUUUUAAUUAGUGGUUAAGACUGUUGAAAACCACACUUAGCUUCAGAAUUGCUCCCAUAUUAUUUUUAGUUAUUCACAGAAAAGUGAGAAAAAUCACUCUACUGGAUGGAAAAUUAUAUGUAGUUUUACAUAUCUUAUAUAGAAUGUAUGUCUAGAAUGUAUCUAAUAUCGAAUGUAUACAUAGAAUGUAUACACACAAAAUCUAUUAGAAUACCAACAACAUGUAGUACAAAGGUUUUAAGCACUAAUAAAGAGUGUCUAUUCUAUAACACGAUUAUACUAAAUGAGAAAUAUAAUGCAUAUGCAUAAUAUCAUCUACAAAUACUCCUACUACAUGUCCCACCCACUACAAAAGUAACCUAUAAAUACUGCUACCAACUAUCAACUCUCAAAUUGCUUGGAAAUAAUUUUCUGCAUAGUGUAAACAUUUUAUUGUCAAAAACAUGAGUCAUUGACUAAUUACCAAAAUCUAACCCUGGCUUUUCUCAUAACCUUAUAUAGGUUCAGUUAUUUUACAGUUGAGAAACGUAUCUCAGGUCUGGUCACAUAGAUCACUCUCAUAUUUCACAUGAGAUCAGUCAGAAGUUGUAACUAAAUUCUCAAUAUUCCCCAAGGGUGCAUAAAGACAUUUGCACAUUUCAAAUUAAUUUCGAUUUAGUUAAAUUAUUAUUAUUA